GCGCCCAUAGCUCAGAUGGAUAGAGUAACGGAUUGCGGAUCCGUUGGUCGGAGGUUCGAGUCCUCUUGGGCGCGCCA
rnacentral:tRNA from 1 species